ACGAACGCUGGCGGCGUGCCUAAUACAUGCAAGUCGAACGCUUCUUUUUCCACCGGAGCUUGCUCCACCGGAAAAAGAGGAGUGGCGAACGGGUGAGUAACACGUGGGUAACCUGCCCAUCAGAAGGGGAUAACACUUGGAAACAGGUGCUAAUACCGUAUAACAAUCGAAACCGCAUGGUUUUGAUUUGAAAGGCGCUUUCGGGUGUCGCUGAUGGAUGGACCCGCGGUGCAUUAGCUAGUUGGUGAGGUAACGGCUCACCAAGGCGACGAUGCAUAGCCGACCUGAGAGGGUGAUCGGCCACAUUGGGACUGAGACACGGCCCAAACUCCUACGGGAGGCAGCAGUAGGGAAUCUUCGGCAAUGGACGAAAGUCUGACCGAGCAACGCCGCGUGAGUGAAGAAGGUUUUCGGAUCGUAAAACUCUGUUGUUAGAGAAGAACAAGGAUGAGAGUAACUGUUCAUCCCUUGACGGUAUCUAACCAGAAAGCCACGGCUAACUACGUGCCAGCAGCCGCGGUAAUACGUAGGUGGCAAGCGUUGUCCGGAUUUAUUGGGCGUAAAGCGAGCGCAGGCGGUUUCUUAAGUCUGAUGUGAAAGCCCCCGGCUCAACCGGGGAGGGUCAUUGGAAACUGGGAGACUUGAGUGCAGAAGAGGAGAGUGGAAUUCCAUGUGUAGCGGUGAAAUGCGUAGAUAUAUGGAGGAACACCAGUGGCGAAGGCGGCUCUCUGGUCUGUAACUGACGCUGAGGCUCGAAAGCGUGGGGAGCAAACAGGAUUAGAUACCCUGGUAGUCCACGCCGUAAACGAUGAGUGCUAGGUGUUGGAUCCUUUCCGGGAUUCAGUGCCGAAGCUAACGCAUUAAGCACUCCGCCUGGGGAGUACGACCGCAAGGUUGAAACUCAAAGGAAUUGACGGGGGCCCGCACAAGCGGUGGAGCAUGUGGUUUAAUUCGAAGCAACGCGAAGAACCUUACCAGGUCUUGACAUCCUUUGACCACUCUAGAGAUAGAGCUUCCCCUUCGGGGGCAAAGUGACAGGUGGUGCAUGGUUGUCGUCAGCUCGUGUCGUGAGAUGUUGGGUUAAGUCCCGCAACGAGCGCAACCCUUAUUGUUAGUUGCCAUCAUUUAGUUGGGCACUCUAGCAAGACUGCCGGUGACAAACCGGAGGAAGGUGGGGAUGACGUCAAAUCAUCAUGCCCCUUAUGACCUGGGCUACACACGUGCUACAAUGGGAAGUACAACGAGUCGCAAAGUCGCGAGGCUAAGCUAAUCUCUUAAAGCUUCUCUCAGUUCGGAUUGUAGGCUGCAACUCGCCUACAUGAAGCCGGAAUCGCUAGUAAUCGCGGAUCAGCAUGCCGCGGUGAAUACGUUCCCGGGCCUUGUACACACCGCCCGUCACACCACGAGAGUUUGUAACACCCGAAGUCGGUGAGGUAACCUUUUGGAGCCAGCCGCCUAAGGUGGGAUAGAUGAUUGGGGUG
rnacentral:rRNA from 1 species